UACAGAGGUCUCGAGCGUUAGGCGGAAUCACUGGGCUUAAAGCGUGUGUAGGUGGAUCGGUAAGUACCUUGUGAAAUCCCACGGCUUAACCGUGGAACUGCUUGGUAUACUGCCAGUCUUGAGCCAGCUAGGGGCUACCGGAACAAAUGGUGGAGCGGUGAAAUGCGUAGAUAUCAUUUGGAACGCCAAUGGUGAAAACAGGUAGCUGGGAGUGUGCUGACGCUGAGACACGAAAGCCAGGGGAGCGAACGGG
rnacentral:rRNA from 1 species